GACGAACGCUGGCGGCGUGCCUAAUACAUGCAAGUCGAACGCAGUGGGGACGGGUGCGUAACACGUGGGUAACCUCCCAUCAAAGGGGAUAACACUUAGCAACAGGUGCUAAACCGCUACUGAAGGAUGGACCCGGGGUGCAUUAGCUAGUUGGUGAGGUAACGGCUCACCAAGGCCACGAUGCUUAGCCGGACUGGGGGGGUGAACGGCCCAACUGGAACUGAGACCCGGCCCCGACUCCCACGGGAGGCAGCAGUAGGGAAUUUUCCGCAAUGGACGGAAGUCGUACCCAGCCAAGCCGCGUGAAUGAAGAAGGUUUUCGGAUCGUAAAGCUCUGUUGUUAGAGAAGCGGUAUCUAACCAGAAAGCCACGGCUAACUACGUGCCAGCCGCCGCGGUAAUAC
rnacentral:rRNA from 1 species